UCUGCUCAGAUUGAACGCUGGCGGCAGGCCUAACACAUGCAAGUCGAGCGGUAGCACGGGAGAGCUUGCUCUCUGGGUGACGAGCGGCGGACGGGUGAGUAAUGUCUGGGGAUCUGCCUGAUGGAGGGGGAUAACUACUGGAAACGGUAGCUAAUACCGCAUAACGUCGCAAGACCAAAGAGGGGGACCUUCGGGCCUCUUGCCAUCAGAUGAACCCAGAUGGGAUUAGCUAGUAGGUGGGGUAAUGGCUCACCUAGGCGACGAUCCCUAGCUGGUCUGAGAGGAUGACCAGCCACACUGGAACUGAGACACGGUCCAGACUCCUACGGGAGGCAGCAGUGGGGAAUAUUGCACAAUGGGCGCAAGCCUGAUGCAGCCAUGCCGCGUGUAUGAAGAAGGCCUUCGGGUUGUAAAGUACUUUCAGCGAGGAGGAAGGCAUUAAGGUUAAUAACCUUGGUGAUUGACGUUACUCGCAGAAGAAGCACCGGCUAACUCCGUGCCAGCAGCCGCGGUAAUACGGAGGGUGCAAGCGUUAAUCGGAAUUACUGGGCGUAAAGCGCACGCAGGCGGUUUGUUAAGUCGGAUGUGAAAUCCCCGGGCUCAACCUGGGAACUGCAUUCGAAACUGGCAAGCUUGAGUCUUGUAGAGGGGGGUAGAAUUCCAGGUGUAGCGGUGAAAUGCGUAGAGAUCUGGAGGAAUACCGGUGGCGAAGGCGGCCCCCUGGACAAAGACUGACGCUCAGGUGCGAAAGCGUGGGGAGCAAACAGGAUUAGAUACCCUGGUAGUCCACGCCGUAAACGAUGUCGACUUGGAGGUUGUGCCCUUGAGGCGUGGCUUCCGGAGCUAACGCGUUAAGUCGACCGCCUGGAUGGCGACGUUGAGGUGGGCACCAAUCUUCUUC
rnacentral:rRNA from 1 species